rnacentral:rRNA from 1 species
UACGGAGGGUGCGAGCGUUGUUCGGAAUCACUGGGCGUAAAGGGCGUGUAGGCGGUCCGCUAAGUCUGAUGUGAAAGCCCGGGGCUCACCCCCGGAAGGGCAUUGGAAACUGACGGACUCGAGUCCCGAAGAGGAGGGUGGAAUUCCUGGUGUAGCGGUGAAAUGCGUAGAUAUCUGGAGGAACACCGGUGGCGAAGGCGGCAUCCUGGACCGGCAUUGACGCUGAGGCGCGAAAGCUAGGGGAGCAAACGGG